GCAGUUAGUCCAAAACAAGACCCUUGAUUU
rnacentral:tRNA from 2 species